rnacentral:rRNA from 1 species
UACGUAGGGGGCAAGCGUUGUCCGGAUUUAUUGGGCGUAAAGAGCGUGUAGGCGGCCUGACAGGUCUGCUGUGAAAACUCGAGGCUCAACCUCGAGAUGUCGGCGGAAACCGUCUGGCUAGAGUCCGGAAGAGGAGAGUGGAAUUCCUGGUGUAGCGGUGAAAUGCGCAGAUAUCAGGAAGAACACCUAUGGCGAAGGCAGCUCUCUGGGACGGUACUGACGCUGAGACGCGAAAGCGUGGGGAUCGAACAGG